GAUGAACGCUGGCGGCGUGCCUAAUACAUGCAAGUCGAGCGAACAGACGAGGAGCUUGCUCCUCUGACGUUAGCGGCGGACGGGUGAGUAACACGUGGAUAACCUACCUAUAAGACUGGGAUAACUUUGGGAAACCGGAGCUAAUACCGGAUAAUAUAUUGAACCGCAUGGUUCAAUAGUGAAAGACGGUUUUGCUGUCACUUAUAGAUGGAUCCGCGCCGCAUUAGCUAGUUGGUAAAGUAACGGCUUACCAAGGCAACGAUGCGUAGCCGACCUGAGAGGGUGAUCGGCCACACUGGAACUGAGACACGGUCCAGACUCCUACGGGAGGCAGCAGUAGGGAAUCUUCCGCAAUGGGCGAAAGCCUGACGGAGCAACGCCGCGUGAGUGAUGAAGGUCUUCGGAUCGUAAAACUCUGUUAUUAGGGAAGAACAAAUGUGUAAGUAACUAUGCACGUCUUGACGGUACCUAAUCAGAAAGCCACGGCUAACUACGUG
rnacentral:rRNA from 1 species